rnacentral:lncRNA from 1 species
AUUGAUGGCCUUGUGCCACGUGGAGAGUGGUGCAUUUGAGUAAAUUUUUAUCUAUUUAUUAGUUAAUUGGGUACUGUCUCAUUAUCCAGUAAUUAAUCAAUUGCCUUCAAAAUUUAAAAAUUAUCACAAAUUACUUAAAAUUCUAUUUAUUUUUAAAAUACUUCAUAUAUAUGCUUUGUAUAUUAUACUACCAUGGUCAUAUAGUACCGUGCAUGGUACUAGAUCAUAAUUAUCGGGUAUUAUCGCUCGAUCCGUAUUUUAUUCCAAAUUGACCACUUUCAACGAAACUCAUUUUCUUUAAUCCGUGCACUCACUUACCCUUCAUAACACUUAUUUAUUGCUUGUUACAAAUAGAGUAAGUACGUUAAUGUCAAGAUGAUCUCAUCACCGAGUCUACAUCGGUUAAUUAAAAACGAAAUUUUAUGUACAAAAACGCGAGAUGAAACAUCACCCCUCCCCUCCCCUUGGAACAUUCGUCCUCAAAUGUUAACUGGUGCUCUUAUCAUUUUUCUUGGCCGAUGUCUACUGAAUGCUUUAUUACGCUCCUCGCCAUCUAAGCAACUGUUCUAUCAUUAAAUCCAGUGUUCAGGGCUUUCCCCCCUUUAGGGGAGUACUAAGAUUUGGAGCUAGGACGACCUGCCUACAGAUGUUUUUCCUCUUCAUCUUUGAUAUCCUUUCACACCAUUAACGACCCUUACUCGCCUUGCGGCAAUCCUUCUGUACCAAGGAUGACAAAUCCCCUUACUCGCGAGGGCGACACUUAAUGUAACUGGUACAUACAGUCGCUCAAGCUUAACUUUGCUCACAUUGCUUGCUUUAGAGAAGCGUCUUCCUGAAUAACCAUUCUCUAAAUUUCUUAUGAAUCUUCUUCUAUUUUCCAUUCUAUUAUCGCCGGAAAGCAAUAUGAAAUUCUCAUGAUGCCGACUGGUAUCAAAGCACUCGGUUCCUUAUUCAUGUUUAGUUUAUCUUGUUCACCAGCCUAUCCUGAUUUCUAUUAUUCUGGGGUUUAAUUCUCCCUUCUGGUAAUCAUGUUAGAGUCACGAACUUAUUCCUUGAAAUAAGGAUAUGACUUUAUGGAAUAUACUCUUUGAUGUUUUAUACGUCAAUACCACACAAGAUGGGGGGUGAUUUGUAUAGUACCUAAUUUUUCUCUUAAAUUGCUUAUGAAGGACCUGGUUCUUCUAUGUGUUCCAACUACUGCAAUUGCGGAAUAAUAAGUACAGAAAAUAAAGAACACAGAGAUUUUAUGUGGCUCAAACGGUGAAAACACUACGACCUACUACUCAGUAGGAUUUUCUCAAACUUCCACUAAAAUCACUGAGCCAAAACUGCAUUUACAAAACCUCUUUAUAAACCUAAGGAUUAACUCUAAUCCUGUUGUAGCAACCAGCCUCUAACUGUUGCGCCAACUUCAAGUUAACUCUAACUUGAAUACUCAAAGUACCUAUUACAAUUGCUUCUAUGAAAGCUGAAAGGUACAAAUAAAAACACCUACUACAAUUGAACUAGGAAUAAAGAAAGACACAUAAAACUCUUUAUGGGGCUGGUUCUUAAAUUUGGUUCAUGUAGCUUUAGGUUUGCACACUUGAAUCACACAUGAACUGCUUGCAAAAAGCCUUGCUAUUUUGCUUUCAAUUCACAUUUAACUUCUGCAUUUUUGUGCAACACUUUUAAUGUGAGAACAUCCUGCAAUUUAUAGAGUUAGUAGAUGAAGAAAUAACUAGAGUUCUGAUGCAAAUCUUCCUUGGUGGAAGAGUUCUAGUUGAUUUCAACUUCUAACUCCUUCCCUAUCUUGGAUAGUGUUCUAUUUGAAAUCUUCCUUGGUAGAGUUCUAGUUGAUUUCAACUUCUAACUCCUUCCCUAUCUUGGAUAGUGUUCUCUUCGAUUAACGACUCCUUCUCCUAAUCAUAUGCAACCUUUUCGACCAGGAGAUAUUAAAUACACCAAGUUAAGCUUAUCUCCUUCACGUGAAACACACAUGCUCGAAUCUGCCCGUUUUUGUGCACCUGAGUACUCAUUAGAAUUUUCCCAAACUUCCACUAAAAUCACUGAGCCAAAACAGCAUUUACAAAACCUCUUUGGAAACCUAAGGAUUAAUUCUAAUCCCCUAGUAGCAACUAGCCUCUAACUAUUGUGACAACUUCAAGUUAAUUCUAACUUGAAUACUCAAAGUACCUAUUACAAUUGCUUCUAUGAAAGUUGAAAAAUACAAAUAAAAAUACCUACUACAAUUGAACAAAGAAAGGCACAUAAAACUCUUUAUGGAGCUGGUUCUUCAAUCUAGUUCAUGUAGCUUCAGGUUUGCACACUUGAAUCACAAACGAACUGCUUGCAAAAAGCCUUGCUAUUUUGAUCUCAAUUCACGUUAAACUUCGGCGUUUUUGUGCAACACUCACUUUUAAUGUGAGAACAUCCUGCAAUUUAUAGAGUUAGUAGAUGAAGAAAUAACUAGAGUUCACACACGAACUUCUUGCAAAAUUGUCUUGUUAUUUUUCUCUCAAUUCACAUUUAACUUCUGUGUUUGUGCAACACUUGAAAUUUGAGAACAUCCUACAAUUUAUAGAGUUAAUAGAUAAAGAAAUAACUAGAGUUCUGAUGCAACUCUUCCUUGGUAGAAGAGUUCUAGUUGAUUUCAACUUCUAACUCCUUCCCUAUCUUGGAUAGUGUUCUCUUUGAAUAAGGACUCCUUCUCCUUAUCAAUUAUGCAACCUUUUCGAUCAGGAGAUAUUAAAUUCACCAAGUAAAGCGUAUCUCCUACACGUGCAACACACAUGCUCUAAUCUACCCAUUUUUGUGCACCUGAGUGAUGGACCUGGUUCAUCUUGAGUUCCUUUUACAGGAAAUGUGCAUACCUGUAAAAGAGAACAAACUUAGAUAUUUAUUAAUUUAGUAAUCAGAGUUUGAUUGAGACUUAAUUGUUGAUCUUCCAUCGAAUUUGAGUCCUAGACCAAUACAAACUCCAACCUUUAUCCUUGAUCUGGAUUGUGUUCUCUUCUCAUAAGGAGACUUCUUCUCCUUAUCCCAUAUGCAAUCUUUUCAACUCCAACCUUUAUCCUUGAUCUGGAUUGUGUUCUCUUCUCAUAAGGAGACUUCUUCUCCAUAUCCAAUAUGAAAUCUUUUCAAUCACUUCAGAAGAUACUGUUGCUUGAUCCCUAAGACUUAUCUUCUUCACGUGCAUCUCAUAUGCAUAGGUUGAUAACUACUAUGUCUCAUAAGAUGGACAUGGUCCUUCACUGAGUUCAUUUGUCAUUCUUUAAUAUUUCAACUAAACUUGGGCCAAAAAAUUCCCCAUUUUUGAUGAUGACAAACUCUGUGCUUCUACUGAUCAGAGAACAUGUUUCAACUCAGCUUAACAUCAACACACUGAUAGAAAUAUUUUUCCUUUUUAUCACUUAUCAUCAAAAAGAGUUUGGCAUCAUCGAAAAGUUGCAUAAAGAAUGUGAGAUAACCAGAUUUUAAAACUUACUCAUGGCCGGCCACUGGGGCUACUUCAAAUGCAAUCAUGGAUUAAUCAUCAUAGAUCAUGCUUAGAAUUUUAACCAUCAAGAAAUAUAAACAAACAGUUAGAGCAAAAACAGUGAAUUUCAUUGAUGAUUGAUAAGAUUCUACCACAAAGCAUAAGAAGAUAUAAAAAUACUAAAAACAUGAGCAAAAGAAACAAAAUGUCCUGAAUUGGGUCAGUGGUUCAUCUUCACUAGGUUAGGAGUCUUAAGGCUUGGAAGAGGUAGGGCUGAGUUAUUUGCUUGGAGAAGUUUCAGCAUGUCUUGAAAAAUUCCAUCAUUCUUCUCCUUUUCCCUUGAAAGUUCAAUUCUAAGAACAUCUCUCUUAAAUUCUACCUCAACCAAUCAUUUCUUCAGCCUUGGUAUCUCAAUAUCCUUUGCCUCACUCUCAUGUACCAAUACUCUGACUUUGCUAUUGAUAGGUAUCUUCUUAGAUGAACCAGGUUCAUUAAGCAUAACAUUGACUUCAUAAUCGCAAGCAAGCAGAGUAUUAACCCCAAAAUGAUCCUUUCUUGUACUAACCUCCCACUUCUUCAUAGGUACCUUGAAAUGUACAAGCAUAGUUAUGAGAAUAAAAUCAUAGGGAAUGGCAUGAGUUUUGGUGCUAUUGAUAACCCUAUCAGCAGGUCCGCAAGGGUUUCAUGUUCAGAUGUAACGCGUUCAUCUAUAUUUUUCAAGUUCAACCAAACCCACUUCCCCCUAUUUUACUCACACUCUAUUCUAUUUUACUAACUUCCUCUCCCCAAACAACCACUGCACAUGCGUCUUUGAUUAAACUCACAGGAGUGGGUGAAGAAUCAGCCGCUCUUGUACCCUUUCCCUUCACAGUACUCCUAGCACCCUUGCUCUCUUUUUCUUUUUCUUUUUGUUUUUACCACCAACUUCUCCAGAUAUUGUAGUCUCAACACCUACUAUAUAUCAUACCAGUACAAAUUCAUUUUCUAAAUUUGCAGCAACUUCAUAAUUUGUCUCAGGAGUAACUUUAGAAUCAUAAGAUAAGUGUUUACUUUCGGAAUACCUACUUUCUUCCCCCUUAGUAGCAGACUUAAAUGAAUCUUUAGAUUUCUCGAAUUCUUCUUCCCUACUUGCUUUCAAUUGCUUGUUUAUUUUCUUGGUCUGCUCUCCUUCAGCGAAAAUCUGACGAGCCAUCAUCUUUACUCAACUUUUCUUAGAGAUUGGUGUUGUAGAAGGUGUGGAAGUGGUUUCAUGUGGUGGUGAUGAAGGAUUUUCAAAAAUGUUUAACAUAUCUAGGCUAGGGUAUGGAAGAGAAGAAAAUUGGAUUGUGUUCGGAAGAUAAAAUAAGAAUGAGAGUUUUUGACGGCUUGAGAGAGAUAAGAUAAGGAAUACACUAAAGCUGACCAAUAUACAAAGGAAUACUUGAUGGGAUAACUACACCUUUCAGACACUCAGAAGUUUAAUCAAACUGAAAUUCAUCGUUGGACUAUAUCCCUAGAAUCUAGGUACUUCCAUUCGAUUGGGACUCUUUUGAGUGGGACUGGUUCACUUGUAACGGAUAACUCCAAAAAGAGUUUGGUAUUUGGUCGGACUCUGCUCAUGAUCCAAAUACAGUUAUUUCAAAUUAUGCAGAAUGUAGAAAACAUACUGUGUUAUCUUGUUGAACCAAGUUCUUCUCUGAUAAUUCUCUUGUGUAAGUCUAAAUUUGUCAAAAUAGAUAAAAUAUCAUUAGAGAUUAAUGAGUCAUUUUAACACAUGGCACAAGAGUAUACUAUGGAAAGUAUGAGACUGAGAAACAUUUAAUCUAACUAUACACAAUUUACAUACUUUCUAACCAAAUGUAUUUUUUCAUUUUUUUUCGUUUAAACUUGAACUGGUCCUUUUAGGUGAUUUUAAUCAUCCAUAAUUCCAAUAUGUUCCUCUCAAAGUGAUCUCUAUUUAAGCCUUUUUGUGAAGAUGUCAGCAAUUUGCUUGUCAGUAGUAAAAAACUCCACAGUGAUCAAGCCUUUCUCAUAGUUGUCCCUCAAAAAUUGUAUCUUACAUCUAUGUGCUUAGUUCUCUUAUGAUGAACCAGAUUUCUUAAUACUAAUAGCACUAGUGUUAUCACAAAAAUAGGCAUGCAACCAACUUCAAUACCAAAAUCCAUCAACUGUAGCUUGAUCCACAAUAAUUGAGCACAAUCAUGAAGCAGCAACAACAUACUCAGCUUCAGCAGUAGAUAUGGCCAAUUAAUUUUGCUUUUUAAUAUCCCAUGACACAAGACAUGAACCAAAUAAGUGUUCCAUACCUGAGGUGCUCUUUUUAUCCACUAGGAAACCUACAUAAUUAGCUUCAGCAUAUCCCAUUUGGUUGAAGUUACAAACUUUUGGAUACCAAAGGUAAAGGUCAGUGGUGCCUUUCAAGUAUCUCAAUAUUCUAUUUACAUUAUUCAAGGGGGACUCCUUUGGAUUUGCCAAAAAUCGAGCACAAAGACCUACACUACACACAAUGUCAGGUCUGCUAGUAGUGAGAUAUAAAANNNNNNNNNNNNNNNNNNNNNNNNNNNNNNNNNNNNNNNNNNNNNNNNNNNNNNNNNNNNNNNNNNNNNNNNNNNNNNNNNNNNNNNNNNNNNNNNNNNNNAUGUCAGGUCUGCUAGUAGUGAGAUAUAAAAGAGAACCAAUCAUUUCCCUAUACAACUUCUGAUCAACAGAUGAACCAGGUUCAUCUAUUUCCAAUUUUGUGGAUGCUGCAAUAGGAGUGUCAAUUUCUUUGGAUGUUACUUCCUGGUUUUGUUACUGAGGCAUAGGUUCAUGGACAAGUUCCCUCAAGGUUUGAGGAUCAGUUAUUCUCUAGUCAGUUCCCCCUGUCAUGUUGCCCUGGGUGGAAGAACCUGUUCCUUCUUCAAGUGCAGCUUCAUAUUGGGCUGUGACUUCAUUUAAUCUUUUUUCCAGCCAAAUAGCUUCAUCUUCAUGUUCCUGUCUAUCAUAAAGAAUGUUAGUUUCAUCAAAAUUACAUGUAUACUUUCUUCUACACACAUAGUUCUUUUGUUGUACAUUUCAUAUGUUUUUCGAUGUGAAGAAUACACCAAGAAUACUCUCUCAUCACUUCUGGAAUAAAACUUUACAUAGGGAGUCUUUGCAAUUAUUGUGCACAAAGUACUUGCAUCUAAAUGCCCUAAGAUGGGAUACAUUUAGUUAUUCCGUUUAGUGACUAAUAGGGAAUCUUCUUAAUAAGAGGUCUAGUCAUGUAAAUAUGAUGUAGCAUGCAUGAAUUCAACAAACUUAGCAUUUUUCAAAUUCAGUUCCAUGAUCAGACCUAAUUUAUGCAAGUUGAUUACCUAGUUGUUUCUGAUUAUAUAUAUAUGUGUAUAUAUUUAACACAAGAAGAAAACAUGUCAAAUGCUUCAAUUUUAGAUGUUAAAAUAAUGUUUAAGUAAACCUAGAGUAAUCAUCAACAAGCACCAUCACAUAUCUUUUAUCACCUCUGCUUAAUGUUCUCAUCGGACCAGAGAGAUCCACAUGGACCAGUUUCAUUGUUCUGGUGGUUCUUACCAUUUUCUUGCUUUUAGCAGAGGAUCUUACCUGCUUCCCCCUUGCACAAGCCUCACAAAUUUUAUCUUCCUUGAACUUAAUGUCAGGAAGUCCUAUCUUGCUUGAGUGCAUUUUCUUAAAGUGUGGACAAAUCUACAAUGUAUAUAUUGUUUACUCUUUUUCCCUGUAAAAUAAUUUUGUUAUUGGUAAGAUUAAUCACAAAACAUUUUGUAGAGGUGAAUGCUACCAAGUUACCUCUAUCACACCAUUGUGAUUGUCUUAUUAGGCAGUAUUUUAGGUCAUCUAUCAGGCAGACAGUUUCACUAGAGUGAGAAUCAGUCAUACAUAUCUUUCAAACCCCAAUUAUCUCACCGUUUUUCCCAUUUCCAAAGGAGACAUCACCUCCUUUGAGGUCCUCAAGUGAAAAGAACUAGUUCUUACUUCUUGUCAUAUGCUUUGAGCGGCCACUAUCCAUGUACCAUAUGUGGUUGCUCCCCUUCACUUGGACCCAUAAAAAGAAAUUAUGGGUUAGUCUUAGGAAUCCAAACUAAUUUGGGUCCCUUUCUAUAGGCAAAAGGGUGAAUCAGAUUCUUUUUAGCCCAACCUGGUAGCCUAUUUGUCCCUUGAACAAAUUCUUUAUUUUUUUACUAGCCUUUUCUUUUGCAAUACAUUCAGAUUUAUAGUGACCAGUUUUACCACAAUGUGUGCAAAUUAUAUUCUUAGGAAGUGUGAGGUACUUGCUUUCGGGAUCCCACUUAGGUGCAAGGGUCCCGUAGCCAAUCCUCUCUUAUUGCUACUAUGGUGUUUAUGUAGCCAUGAAAGUACAUCGGAGGACCUAUUCCACUUACAUGUUCUGUCUAGCUCGUGCUUAACCUAGUUUAGAUCCUCCUUAAGGACUCCUAUAUGCUCAUCUCUUUUGUACAACUCAUCUUUUACUUUUCCUACAUUUUAUUCUAAACUAAGUUGUAUGUGAUCAGCUUUCUUUUUACCAAUUCCUAAUUUCAAUUUUAAAUUUUCAGAUUUUAAGCUCUAGGACAGUGGUGUCAACUUCAUGAACAUGGUUCUUCAACUCAACAUUUUUGCUAUCACUCUCAUUUGCCCUAGACUCUAGACUUUUACAUUUUUCUUUUAGAAGCACACAUUCCCUAGAUAGAACUUCCUUCUCAUUGUUAAUUAUCUCAGACUUAUCAAUGAAGUCUAUUAAUAGCUCAACCAGUUUUUCUUUAGACAAGAAUUUAAUCUUGUCUUUGAGAUGAAGAAUACUUACCUCUUGUUCAUCGUAUGAUUCUCUGAUAGCCAUUAAAGCUUGCUCCUCCUCAGUUUCAUCUUCUGAGUCUUCAUCUUCAUGUUCAUCAUCUGAUUCUCCGAUGGCCAUUAGUGCUUGCUCCUCCUCUGCUUCAUCUUCUGAGUCUUCAUCUAAAGUUUCUCCCCAGGCAGCAACCAUAGCCUUUGUUGAUCAUUUGUUCUUCUUGAGUUGAACAUGUUCCUUCUUCUUGUUCCUUUGUUAAGCUUUUUCCUUCUUUCAUUCAAUUUUUCAUUGAGGGCAGUUUCUAAUAUGGUGAUCAGCCUUCCUACACUUAUAGCACCUCUCAUUGGUUUGUUUUUAAGGAACCCUUGGUUUGCUGUAGCUUCCAUUUCUUGAAGGACCAUUUUCUCUCAUUAAGUACUUAUUGAAUUCCUUUGUGAUCAUGGUCAUUUCAUCCUCCUCUAGAUGAGCACCUUUAGUGAUUCUAAAUAUCAUGCUCAUUUUUCUUCUUGGGUGCAUCCAUCUUCAUGGUUUUCCUUCUAAGUUCAUAGGCUCUGAUAUUUCCAAUUAGCUCGGCCAACUUAAGAGUGGUAAUGUUCUUUGAUUCCUGAAUGGCAGUGAUUUUGCUUUCACAAGUGACUGGCAGAACCUUUGUCAAAAUUUUCUUAACUUUGUCCUCUUCAAGAACAAACCUUCCAAGAGACUUAAGUUCAUUUGUCAGUGUGGUAAACCUUAUAUACAUCUCCUGGAUGUUUUCCCCUUCCUCCAUGGUGAAAUCCUCAUAUUGAGAAUAUAGCAAUGUUCCUCUUGAUCUCUUUACUUGAGGAGUUCCUUCUGAGCCACUUGUAAAGUGUCCCAUAUUUCCUUGGCAGUGGUACAACUUUGAAUUCUACUGUACUAGUCUGGGCCUAGACCACAUACAAGCCACUUCUUGGCCUUAGCAUUUUUCUCCCACUUUUUCAAGUCUUCAGUAGUGCAGUCAGCCCUUGUCUUUGUCACUUCAAUUCCAUCAGCAUUCUUCUUAGUGGUUGCUAAGGGACCAUCAGUGACUAUAUCCCAAAGUUCAUAAUCUUCCCCUAUAAUGUGAUCUCUCAUUCUAUUAUUCCACCAAGAAUAAUACUGGCCAUUGAAAAGUGGAGACCUAGUAGUGGAUUGCCCUUCCUAGUUUCCAGGUGGUGCACUCAUUAUUGAUUUUUUCCUAAGGUGUUAGCCUCUUCAAGGAUAACCUGCUCUGAUACCAAUUGAUGUUUUAUAUAUCAAUACCACACAAGAGGGGGGUGAUUUGUGUAGUACCCAAUUUUUCGCUUAAACUACUUAUGAAGGACCUGGUUCUUCUAUGUGUUCCAACUACUACUGCUGCGAAAUAAUAAAUACAAAAAAUAAAGAACACAGAGACUUUACAUGGAAAAAACUUGGCUCAAAAGGUGAAAAAACAACGACCUACUACUCAGUAGGAUCUAAAAUAAAUAACACAGAGAUUUUACGUGGAAAACACCUGGCUCAAAAGUUGAAAAAACCAUGACCUACUAUUCAGUAAGAUUUUCCCAAACUUCCACUAAAAUCACUGAGCCAAAACAACAUUUAUAAAACAUCUUUGUAAACAUAAGGAUUAACUCUAAUCCCCAUUGUAGCAACCAGCCUCUAACUGUUGUGGCAACGUCAAGUUAACUCUAACUUGAAUACUCAAAGUACCUAUUACAAUUGCUUCUAUGAAAGCUGAAAGGUACAAAUAAAAACACCUACUACAAUUGAACUAGAAAUAAAGAAAGACAUAUAAUUCUUUAUGGAGCUGGUUCUUCAAUCUGGUUCAUAUAGAUUCAGGUUUGCACACUUGAAUCACACACGAACUGUUUGCAAAAAACCAUUGUAUUUUGCUCUCAAUUCACGUUUAACUUCUACGUUUUUGUGCAACACUUUUAACGUUUGGAACAUCACUCUUUUAUUGUCCUAAGGCCUGUCACCUAUCCUCUCUUUAUUCACUUGACUAGACUCUAUGAUACUUUCAUUUUUUCUUCCUUUUUUUUCCUACUGUCGCUAUCCAUGUAUCACACCUUAUUCAUAAUGCUCUUUUAUCUCUCUUCUCAUUACUCUGUUGAUAUUUCUGCAUAUCCUUUUUCUUGUGAAAUCUUCAUCACGACAUUCGUUCACUUUUAGCUCUCCUUGUUUCAUUCAUCGACUCUUUGGGUUUCUGAACGUCCUAUCUCUACUAGGGACGAAAGUCACACUAAGGUAAUAUUUAUCCCUUCCAGGCUUUCAGUGCCUAUCAUCUGGAUUUUUUUUAUCAUACUAAUAUUCAUAUCUAAUUGUAAUAUUCUAGCGUGCACCAUUUGAGUGUAUCACAAGGAGAUCUAUUCGCACAUUUGCAAUAUCCUUCGGCAAUGUCAACUAACUCAAGCAAUUCAUUCACCAAUUUGGGUUACCCUAACCUCAGAUGGAUCCUGAAUUCCUGUCCUUCUUUAACUAUACCAGUUAGCCCCCAUAGUGUAUAACUAAAAUGGGUGUGGUCAAUUAUACAUACCUCUGUUACUGUUGAAUAUAACUCAAAAAACUUAUGUUCCUUUGCCUAAAUUACAAUACUGUUAACCUUCAUUAACUAGGCGCCUCGUACCCUUCUUCAUCUUGCUUCUUUUGUUUGUUAAAACUUGUAUUUUAAUCUGUCAUUCUCUUUUACCAUAAAGGUGGAUAAAUAUUCUUUCCUUAAGGCUUCUCAUCAGGAAGCUUACAACUUUCAGUACACCCAUAAUCUGCUAAAGACCUCAUAUUUUCUUAUCAUAAGCAUGAUAUAAAGCCGAGUUCUUCUAAUUCAACACUUUCACAACUAUACCUCUUAUCGAUCAUCUUUCUGAACAUAGGCAUCGUCUUAUUACGAAUAAAAAUAGAAGUUCGGGACUUAAAUUCUUAUAAGUGAGCUCUACCUCACGAUCUAGAGUAUGAAGAAAGAGUGACAGUCCUAAAUGCCCUGUAGCCUCCUGCCUAUAAAUAUGGUGCACGAUACAUCCACAAACAAGACUCUACUAGACAUGGCUUGUAAACUCCCUAGGACAGAACUGCUCUAAUACCACUUUUGUCACGAUCCAAAUCGAUGGGCCGUGAUGGACACCCGAUACCUUACUCAACCAAGUACCAUCGUAACAUAACUUUCAUAUUAUUCUAUCAUAGGUAAGUGAACCGAAGUAAAGCAUAAAGGAAUACAAACUUAUAUAUAUGAAAUACGGGCCUAUAAGGCCAAAAUAACUACUUGUGUACUAAACAUAGGCCGACAAGGCCAUACAAUCUUUUACGUACAUGACAUCUGUCUACAAGCCUCAAAGAAUACAUAAAUAGCAAUACAUGUCUAAAUCCUACUAACCAAACACGUAACUCCGAAGAAAAUGGAGAGCACCGACAUCUUCCCCUGAGUUCAUAGCCUCUUGUAGGGCUCUGGACCUGUCUGUCUGGACCUGUGAGCAUGAAACGCAGCGUCCCCAGGUAAAAGGGACGUCAGUACGAAAUAAUAUACCGAAUAUGUAAGGCAAUACACUGAAAGCUAAAACUGAAAUAAUAAUAUUAUAACUACAAGUAGCUGGAAGUCAAAUGUAAUCUGACGAUAUGCUUACCUGCUGAUAUUGACUCAACUCUCUCAAUAUAGUAAGUAAAAUAGCUUUCUGGUCCUAUUUUAUAGAUAUAUAUAUAUAUGUAUAUAGAUAUAGAUAUAAUUACUCUGCCGUAGUAGGCUCGCUCUUAGGCGCUCGGCCAUACUAGGCUCUAUAUCUUGACCAACUGGGCUCACUCAUAAGCGCUCGGCCACAGUAGGCUAAGUAUAUAUAUAAUUGCGUUUGCCGUAGUAGGCUCGCUCAUAUGCGCUCGGCCAUACUAGGCUCUGUGUCUCGGCCAUACUAGGCUCUGCGUUUCGACCAACUGGGCUUGCUCAUAAGCGCUCGGCCACAAUAGGCUUGGUAUAUAACUUACCAUCUGAUCAGAGGUUGCCCAAUAGGAGCCUGCGGCCUGCCCAUCGAUUAUAGCUCGAUGGUAAUAAAAAUACUUUUAAUACUGUAUAUAUGUAAAUUCUGCGCUUUCUUGACUGGAUGAAAGAAAUACUUAACCAAAUAUGAAGUCUCGAUAAGGAGAAUAUUAUAAAUUAUAAAACUAAAAAAUAUACACAAUUUACCAGACUAGCAAAAUAUAUAUAAAUUUCAAUAAAUUCCGGAAUAUAAAUUUUUCUCUAUGCUUCGUUAUCGAACUUGUGUAAUUACAAUAUCAUGAUAAAAUAAAAAAAAAGCUUUGCCUUAAUAUACCCAAAAUAGAAAAAACUCCAUAUAAUAUUUCGUUAGAAAACCUUCGUUGAUUGAAGGAAAUUUGCGGCUGCUCCUUAGAAAUUCAUGAACGAAAUUCACCUUUGGUCGAACUUGAAAUUUCGGACGAAACUAUUCUGCUUUUAACGUUUUUGAUUGAAAUGUUGGCUAAGGAUUGAAGUGAAAUUGGACGAAUUUAACUUACUUGGAUUUAUUGAAGUUGAACUUGCUUGAAUUUAAACAUUUUGACGAAAUUGAUUCUGUUCCUAACUUCCAUGGUUUUUACAAUCACAUGCAGAAUGAAAUGUUUUGGCCAAAGAGUGGAAUUGUUUGGACGAAAUAGUCCUGUUGGCGUUCUUGGUUUCAAACCAAGAACAAAUUGAGGUUAAAGAAUAAAUUAUCCAUUACUUUUUUACAGACAACCGAACAUGAGAUGUUAAAGACACACAAGAAUGAAGCUUGUUUAUGUUUCUUGCUUUUAAAUGUAUGUCGUACUAAUUUGUUGUAUCAUAUUAGUGGGUUUAUUAGAUUUCUCGUAGGGAUAACAUUUAGACACCUAUUUUAAUUGUUUACGAGUCAUACUUUUAAAUUGGUAGCCUUGUGCCACGUGGAGAGGGGUGUAUUUUAGUUAAUUUUUAUUUACUUAUUAGUUAAUUGGAUAAUAUCUUGUUAUUUCGAUAAUUAAUUAGUUAUUCGUAAAAAUUUAAAAAAUUUAUAAAUUAUUUAAAAUUCUAUUUAUUUUUACAAUACUUCAUAUAUGCUCUAAAUAUUAUACUACCAUGAUCAUAUGAUAUCUUAGAUGGUGCUAAAUCAUAAUUAUCAGGUAUUAUCGCUUUACCCGUAUUUUAUUCCAAAUAGAUCGCUUUCAACAAAACUCGUUUUCUUUAAUCCGUACACCCCUUUACCCUUUACAAUAUUUAAUUAUCGCUUGUUAUAAAUAGCGUAAGUACGUUAAUGUUAAAAUGAUCUCAUCCCUGAAUCUACGUCGAUUAACUGAAAACAAAAUUUUAACAUACGAAAACACAAGAUGUAACAACAUGAUUUGUAUUAUGGGUAGGUAAUGGGUCCCUCUGUAUUUUAUUAGAAGAUUUUAAAUUAUUAGUAAUUAAAGAGUUAGGAUAAUUAGCGGUUUUGUUCAAAACAGUGUCUACUUCAUUGGAAGGGAGAGUGUGGUUUUUGGUUUUAAUGCAAAGAUCAGUAUGCUCUAAAUUAUUGGAAGGUAUUGGAGAAUUCGGGGCAUUCUUAUUUCUAUACAUAAAUUUUUGAGUAGUUAGAAACUUACUUGAUUUUGCCUCAAAAUAUUAACGUUAAUAUCUGAUUUCUAAGAAUUUUCCAGCAAGUUUGAAAGUGAUUUUGUGGGAUUCUUUUUUCUUCCUUUGUUGAAUGAGGCAGUCUUCCAAACCUCUUCUUGUUUUCCUUGCAAAAGUUAAUAUUGGAGUCCUAGACUUGAGCUCCUCAUGCGUCUUGAGUAUUUUUUGCAUAGGAGCACUAUUUUAUUGGGUGUUCUAGGUAGCCACAAUUUUUACAUAAUACGUUCUUCCCUUUAUAGUAAAUAUAUUACUUUUGGGAUCCGAUGAAGAUGAACGGGAUCACUGAUUUGUCUAAUGGAAGUUCAACACAUAGCUGAGCAUAUCGUCCACUGAGUGAUGUUGAUAUGCAAGCAUCUAUUUUCAGUAAUCAACCUAUUGUACUGUCCACUUUUUGAAGGAUCUUUCUAUCAUAAAAUAUAAUGGAGAGUUGAGGUAGUCGGAUCCAGAUUGCUGUAAAAGAUUGUGUAGCUUGAGAUGGUAUAAAAUUAGGAACCCAGCGUUGGACGGAUAGAAAAUGUCCAUAAAUAAAUUAUGGUCCUUUUUGAAUGGAGUUUAUCAUAUUUUCUUAUUUGUAAAAACGAAUAAUGUAAUAAUCUUCACCUAGAUCAAUUAAUGCAAAGGAUUCAUUUGGUUUCCAUUGUCCAUUAAUUUAUUUUUUAAAAUAUCGUAUGAGGUUCUCUUCCCUUACAAUUUAAUUAUGACGGAAUAUCUCCACUUAUAGUAAAUCCUUAGUUUUUCCUCCGUGGUAAUAGGUGCUGAAUACUUAUGGUCAUAUUGAGGAUUUUGUAGGGAGAUUUCAUUGUCAAGAUUUGAGUUAAUGUCCAUAGGAGUUUGGUGUGGAAAACUAAUUUUCCAUUUCGUUGGUAAGAAAUUUCUCCUUAAAGGAGUGAUUCAGUAUACAUAUGCAUUAAUGAAGGAUUUAUGUCCAGUAGUUUAGGAGGAGUGGCAAUUUGGGAAUUCAUUUGGGUAUAGGUGUAAGUAUUAUGUUAUAACACUAAUUUUUUUUCUUGUUUUACAGGUUUAGGAUGUUAAUUAAGAUCUGAAGAAAGGUCAAAUAGAAUGUUAAAAGAGGAGAAUAUUAUUACCCGUGGAGACAUCAUGUUCUCGAUUUUACAUCCUUUCUGUGUACUACUAAAAUUUUAUAUCAUAUAUUUAACUUAGAAAUAUGUGAUCUCAAAUAUUGGAUCAAAAAGAACAAGUGACUCAAAAUUUUUUAAUGAGGCAACGCGUACGAGUUACAUAAAUGUGAGUGUAAAUAACUUUGUGUAGUCAGAAUUUUGCAAACCGUAGCAAAAGAUGCAGAUAAAAUUUAGAACAAAAAAAUAUAUUCAUAUUUUCAUGAAUUUUACUACACAAAUAGAUGAAAUUAUCUUUAACUAAAAACAAACAGAAAAAUAAUGUAAAACACUUGUUCUAUCACUCUAUAACCUAUGUUUUCAUAAGACUAAUAUUUUGUUUAGUCAAUAACUUGAUUUUCGCAUAAGUACUUCAUAUGCAUAUGAAGGUAAUGCUUACAUUAUAACAUUGCUACCUCGCUCAAACUCAACUUUCAAACCCUUACAAGUGACUUGUGAUUUUCCACAGUAUGAGUGGUGUUGUGCCUCGUGAUGGCUUAUUUGAGCUUUUCCAUUUAAAUUUAUCAUAAAUUUUGUGAAAUGACCAAAAGCAAGAUUAGUCAUCGACAAUACAAUGGUCAUAACUCUUAGGCAACGCAUCAAAAGUCGUAUCAAUAAAAUUUUGAGCUUUUUCGUCUUGAUAAAACUUAGGAGCAACAUUAGCUUGCCAAAGUGUGGUGUCAUUAUAAGUAACUUCGGCAUCAAACUGAUCAUUGAAGAAAGUAUAAUCAUCGGGUUCUGAUUAAGCUAGUGAACUUCCAACCCUGAGGAUUAUCCAAGGAUAAAGGUAGCGAGGUGCUUAACAUAGAAAAGAGUGAAGAAGAGACAUAUAUAAUACGAAACUUAAGAGUUUUGGUCUUCUUUAGUAACCCUAGUAUCUUGAAUUUCUUUAGUAGCCCUCGGAAAAUAUAAAUACAAAGCUAGUACAAUACCUAAUGCUAUAACUAAUAGUCCAAUAAGUAUGCUUGAUGCUACAUUAUAUUAAGAAAUUUCGGCUGAAUCAACUAUUUUAAUAUUAUCGGCAGAUUUUUCCAUUUAUUAAGUGGUAAGAGUAUAGGUAGAACUCGAAUUGCAGGUAGUAAAUUUGCGAUUGAAAUUUAUAUUCGUAUAAUCGGCUUAUAUAGAUGGUACAACAGCCAAUCCGACUUAAAAAAGGAUUAAUUUAAGUUUUUAAAUCCAAAAUGGAGUUGGAAAAGAUUAGUAAGCGUUUCUGCUGAUUAGAAGGAAAAUUAAAAAUAAUAUGUAUAGAUUAAUAAUAGGGAAAAGGGUCAGAACUGCCCCUAACGUAUUGAUUCCAGGUUAAAAAUACUCUCCGUUAACCUAUUUUGAAGAAAAUGCCCCUACCGUUAAAAAUAUGGCAUAUAUGUGCCUCUAAGUCUAAUAACUGAUUGUACUUAUAUUUAAAACGGUAGGGGCAUUUAUUUCAAAAUAGGUUAACGGUAGGGGCAUUUUUAAACUGACAUGCUAGACUUAGGGGCACAAAUAUACCACAUUUUUAACGGUAGGGGCAUUUUUCUUCAAAAUAGGUUAACGAAGGGCAUUUUUAACCUGGAGUCAAUACGUUAGGGGCAGUUCUGACCUUUUUCCGUUAAUAAUAAUUUGAUGUUUUCCCAUUUCUUUUAGUUUUUUCUCUUAAACAACUCGAUCCCCUCUUUCUCUCUCUCUUCCUGCGCGGCAUCACGUUUUCCUUAAUUUUAUUCUCUCUCUACGGUCCCACCUAUUUCUCUCCCUCUGCUCUAAGUUUUGGGUUUCAGAAAAAAAGGUAAGCUCCUUUUUACAGAUCCAUUUUCGAAUCUUCAAUUCUUCUUCUUAUUUCAGUUUCAAUAUCUUAACCGCUUUUCAACGCCUUCGGUUUGUUUCCCGCUCACAUGUCACAUCUGCAUCCAGUUCUCUGCUUCUAAGUUUAUUUAUAUGUCCGCUGAUUGCUCUGUAUCACUGUAGUUAUAGAAUGUUGACAUAUCUUUAUGCUUGUUGUGUUACUGAAGAGAUGUAAUUCAUGUUUUGUUUUGAUCAAAUGUUAAGUCAUUUUACUAUUUAUAGACAUAUCUGUAUCAGUCGUCCAUUAUAAGUAACAUUUAUUCUAGUUUGAGAUUAAGGACUAGUUGAUUGAUUGAUUGCCAGCAUAUAGAUUGCUGAUUUCAUAAUUUACUCUGUCCGAAAAUGUUUGGCACUUUUUAACUUUCGAGAUUCAAACUAAGUGAUAUUUGACCAGGUUUUAAAGUGUCUUUUUUGCUCGUUUUGAUAUGAGGAGAAAUGCGACUUAUAGAAUUAUCUUAUCUAGUUUUUGAACAUUUAAAAUUUAAAAAGGUAAAGUAAUCUAAUCAGAUUUAACUCAGGAAGUAGUCGAAUUGACCUGCAUAAUGUAAAAAUUGCUACACAAACUGUGACCACAAUUCUUAUCCCUAGUUUCAUACCUAGGUAAGGAAAAAUUGCUUAAUGUAUUGUGACAACAACUCUUAUCCUAGUUUCUUAUUGAGUAUAGUUGAUUGAUUUUGGUGUAUUAUUGUUCAUUUUUCUUUUUGUUUUGUUAUUCAGGUUAAGCACGGGCGAGGCACAAAACAAUAUCGACAUGGACGAAGGAACCCUGAAGGUUGGAAUGGGUACGUUUAUACUAUCCUCUUCUUUUUAGCCCCUUCUGUUUGCUGGAUUGAAGUCUAUUUAUGGUUGUCAUGAUAUAGAUAAGAGCUAAGUUUAACAUGCUGUAUGAGCCGAAUGCCUCCAGGGUCCUUGCUUUACUGAUAAAGUUUUCUCAAGUUGGGAGAGAAGUGCAGUUAAAGCCCUUUCUGAUUUUCUUUUGUGUAGUUUGCAUGCGGAUGAGAGUGGUGUUUCUAUUUCCUGAUUUUAGCAGACCUCAUUUAUUAAUCAGAGCAAUCAUUUCAUUAGUAUUCAUUAAUUUUUGUAGUUAGCAGGAUUUCAUUGGUAAAUACUAGUAUUAGAAAGUAAAUAAGUAUUCAUUAAUUUUUGUAGUUAGCAGGAUUUCAUUGGUAAUUACUAGUAUUAAAAAGUAAAAACCAUGAAUAGAGUGUGAUGUACCUUCUGCUCAUAUGCUGGAAGGAGAAUAUGUAAUUAGAUUAUCAAUAAUAAAUUUUUUCUGCUUCUCUCUUAUUGUGUAACUUUCUGUCUAAACUCAGACAUUUGUUAAAAAUUUCUAUCUAAGACUGAUGGUGACUUAUAUGGAAGGUGACUCCUAAUGCUGUGUAAAUUGCAGAAUAUAGAACUGUCUCAGGUGUUGCUGGACCACUUGUUAUCCUUGACAAAGUUAAGGUAAUCAGUGUGCACUUUGCUUUUGAUAUAUUUUCCUUUUUUUGGGGUUUAAUGUUGUUUGCUGUAACUUUUGUGUAAAUGCAACUGGAAUAAUGUGUGCAUGUGUUUCUCUUAUCAGGGACCCAAGUACCAGGAGAUUGUUAAUAUUCGUUUGGGAGAUGGAACAACUCGACGUGGGCAAGUUCUAGAAGUUGACGGGGAAAAAGCUGUUGUUCAGGUUUAUUAUUCUUUAGCAUCGCUUAUGUUUGACUUUAGACAAUAUUUUAUCCACUACUAAUUAGAACCUUCCAACAAUUCUGUAAAAAUUGAAUCUGCUAACGCAUGGUCAUUGUUUGCUGUAACUUCUGUGUAAAUGCAACUGGAAUAAUGUGUGCACGUGUUUUCUCUUGUCAGGGACCCAAGUACCAGGAGAUUGUUAAUAUUCGUUUGGGAGAUGGAACAACUCGACGUGGGCAAGUUCUAGAAGUUGACGGGGAAAAAGCAGUUGUUCAGGUUUAUUAUUCUUUAGCGUCGCUUAUCGCUAGAUUUGACUUUAGACAAUAUUCUAUCAACUAAUUAUUAGAACCUUCCAACAAUUCUGUAAAAAUUGAAUCUGUUAACGCGUGGUCAUUUCCUCUUCUAUUUUUACCAUGUUUUUGAAGGAACAUCUGGAAUUGACAACAAAUAUACGAGUGUGCAGUUUACGGGGGAGGUACUUUAUAACUCAUUUUUUGCUCCUGACAUUUGCUCCCAAUAGAGGUCUGGCCCGUCCCGAGGCCCUGUGUGAAUGCAGGAUGCUUUAUGUACUGGGCUGCCCUUUUAUUUUUGCUCCUUCAUAUCUAAUCAAUAUAAAUCACGAAAAGGAGGUUCUUUGAUGAAUUUCAUGCCGGUCCAUUAACAUUGGACUGGAAUUAUAUGCAGUCUCCCUUUCUGUAGUCUUUUUGUUCUUCUGUCUUGCAUUCAAAGCGUUGUAUAUGGCAUGCAUAUACUUGUCGAGCACAAUAACCUUGGCAUAGUGUUAACAUGCAACUUGUUUUGCAUUUGCUCAAUAAUGGAAAAGAAUAAGAAUGAGAUGGAUUAGCAAAGUAGUUAUUAAUCAUAUGGCUAUUAUCGCCGAUCAAAAAUAAAAUCAUAUUGGCUAUUAUAAAAAGAAAUUAGUAGAGAACAUAUGCUUCUACUGGUUUAGCGUUUUCACUUCUUUGUAACAGUUAACAUCAUGUUUGCAGGUUUUAAAGACACCAGUCUCACUCAAUAUGCUUGGACGCAUCUUCAGUGGUUCUGGAAAGCCUAUUGACAAUGGUCCCCCUAUUUUACCUGAGGCCUACAGGGAUAUUUCUGGCAAGUUCUUAGUUCAAGCAAGUCCAGCUUUGGUUCUCAUAUAAGAUUUUUCCUUUAAUAUUGUGCUACAUGUAACUUGUCCAUCUUAGGGAGUUCUAUCAAUCCAAGUGAGAGAACAUAUCCUGAAGAGAUGAUACAGACCGGAAUUUCAACAAUUGACGUCAUGAAUUCAAUUGCUAGUGGGCAGAAAAUUCCUCUUUUCUCUGCUGCCGGUCUCCCUCAUAAUGAAAUUGCUGCCCAAAUCUGUCGACAGGCUGGUCUAGUGAAGAGGUUGGAGAAGUCUGAAAAUCUUCUUGAGGUUAGUAACUUCUUUUAUUGUACUCCAACCUUCCUAAUUCAUAUAAUCUGCCCAAAUCUGUCGACAGGCUGGUCUAGUGAAGAGGUUGGAGAAGUCUGAAAAUCUUCUUGAGGUUAGUAACUUCUUUUAUUGUACUCCAACCUUCCAAUUCAUAUGACUAUUCAACUAGAAGGCUUUACACCAUUCUAUUUCUACACAACUUUCACAGAUUAUCAAACUAUAACCAUUAGAGUAUAUUAGAGAACCCCUAUUGCUAGAUAAUCCUACUGUACGGAGUAUUAUGGAUCCAAACAGAGUAUUUAUGACUUUGAGGUUUCAUUAAGCCGACCCAACUAGCUUUCUUUGGGUCAAACUACUGUUCGACCUUGUCUUAACAUUUUCUUCCAUCAUCACCAAUAUAAUAAAUAAGUCAAACCAAAAUAUUAUACUCCAUACCUGGUCAAAUACUGUCUUGUCAUAUAAAAUGGAACAAGGAGCUAUUAUAUUUUGAACAUCCAAAUAUGCUGAUAAUAGGAGGUGUGCUGCAUUGCUUGAAAUGGUCAUUGAAACAUCAACUGUCUUUCUAAAGCCUAAAUGCGAUUUUGGUGGAUUUCAGAAUUAUAUUGUUAUCAUUUAACACGAUAGCCUUAGGUUACUGCAUUGAAGGACCUCGUCACAGCAUUAGAUCCAAGAUGAUAAAGAGCAAAAUAUAUGAGUGCAUUUUUUUCUUUCUUUUAUUGUACAAUUAGUUAACAUAUAUCUCGAAAAGAGAAAACUGAUUUAGUGUUAAACAUUUUCAGAAAGAUGUGACAGACUGUUAGUUCUUCUCUUAUUCCUUCUCCAAUCUACCAGUGAAUCGCUGGACUUGCGCAUUUCAGUUUCCACAUUUUGGUGAUUGAGCUGGAUUCACAUUGAUGUAAUUCUCAUUUUCUUCCUUGAUGUCCCAGAAAAGUGAAGAUGACAAUUUUGCGAUAGUCUUUGCUGCUAUGGGAGUCAACAUGGAAACCGCACUAUUUUUCAAACGAGAUUUUGAGGAAAAUGGAUCCAUGGAGAGAGUGACACUUUUCUUAAACCUGGUAAUGCUUGGAUUUCGACUCUGGCUAACAAUUAAAUGUUUUGUUCUCCAAGAUAAUAAUACUUUUUUAAGGUGAAGCUCAUUCUUAUCUCCUAUAUUUUCUUCUCAUAGGCAAAUGAUCCUACAAUAGAACGUAUUAUUACUCGGAGGAUUGCUCUGACAACUGCAGAAUAUUUAGCAUAUGAAUGCGGGAAGCACGUGCUUGUCAUUUUGACUGAUAUGAGUUCAUAUGCUGACGCUCUUCGUUGAGGUAUUGUUUUUCAAGUGUAUGUCAUAGCCUUUCAGAUACUCAUGAUUGUGUUUUGUAUGGAUCUUUAUUCUUUUGUUAUAACUUAAUAUCAGUACAGCUCAGUUAUGCAGUUUUAUCUAGCAUUUUGAGAGCAAAAACCACAAAAAAGGUGAAGAGGUUCAUGGGAAUUGAAGCGAAAUGCAAGAAGUGAAGUGCACGAUUUAUGGAAAUUAAAAUGAACACAAACAUUUGUGGAUUUAGUACUUCACUAAUCACCUGAUUAAAAAAAAUUAAUACUUCAGUAAUCAAAUUGCAAUCAAAAUCAGCAUAUUUAUAUACAACCAUACCAUUAAUCCAUCUCGUCUAAAUUGGGAUUUGAAGAAUCUGCAGCUUCUCGUUUGGAUCAGUUUGUGCGUCGUCGCUCGAAGCACACACUUCUCUGAAGCGCAUGGCUUCACUUCUCGUUUUGCAUCACUUCAUUGCUUUAAGUGAUAAAGUGAUGGAUUUUAAUAAGGAAAAAUACAUAAAAUGCCACCAAACCUUGUAGUCAAAUCCCUCUUACACACCCGGUAACCACGAGAGUAUUAUUACACACCCAAACUUUUUAAAGUGUGUCUAUUACACACCACUUUAGCUAGGUAGCACUCCGCGUGUCCUACACAUGAAUCAGGCACGUAUAUAGAAAAUUUCGUAUGUGUGAAGCUCUCUAUGGAUGCCAUGUGUCCAACGUUUCAUUUUUUCAUUUUUUCUUUAAUUUUAUCAUUUUCCCAAACGUUAUCCCUCAUAUUCAGGUAACCAUUAUCCCCAUUUCCAAAUUCAGGCAAACCUCCAUUGUAGGUAACCCCAUUGGGUGUUGAAAGUUGAUUAAUUAACUACUUUGGAUUGAGUAUUAUUACUCACUCAAAUUUUCGAAUUUGAAGAGAAAAAAAAAGAGAUACCGUUGAAGAAGCCUUCGAUUGUACUCCUAUUUAAAAACCCAUAUUUCAAACCCGAAUGUGUAGGCGAUUUAUUGUUAAAAACUGAUCUAGGAAGUCUAACAUGGAUUACCAUGUGCAUUUCACUAAAUUUGAGCUCAAAAAAUAUAAAAGGGAAGCUCGAUCGACGGAAAUAGGGAUGUCUUUCCGGAAAAUAUGAUAUUCUUUUGUCAAUCAGUGCACUUUUUUUCUUCCUCUUUAUUCUCUCUUUCUUCCUAAUCUGUCCAUAUUUUCUAACUCUUCAAAUUUGUUUUCAGUUAUGUUCAACACAUCAAAAAGUUUUACAAAAGCUUUCAAGGGAUUCAAAGCUAAGAGAAAAUCUUAACUCGAUAAAAAUCAACUGUUGGGUGGGGAAGAUUAAAGAACCGGGGAGGGGACUUGGAAAGAUGAGGAUAGGGGUGGAGGGGAAUUUUUUCUGUUUUUCUUUUCUAAAAUAUUAUCAUCGAUGGUGUAAAUUAGGUUUCUUUUCUUUUUCUUUUGAGUUAUGACACGUGUCACACUCUAAUUAGCACGUGUGAUGCAAUUUUCAAAACGAAGCUGUCAAACACAACAGUGGUGUGUAAUAGACACACUUUAAAAAGUUUGGGUGCGUAAUAAUAUUCCCGUGAUUACCGAUUGUGUAAGAGGGAUUUGACUACAAGGUUUGGUGUCAUUUUAUGUAUUUCGCCUUUUAAUAACGCUGGUCUUAUCAGAAGUUCUGUGUUUUCUUUUUAGCCUACUGGGAUCAUACAAUUCUCAUCUUCUUGCAGGUAUCUGCUGCUCGAGAAGAAGUGCCUGGAAGGCGUGGAUAUCCUGGUUAUACGUAUACUGAUCUGGCAACAAUCUACGAAAGAGCUGGACGUAUCGAGGGAAGGACGGGCUCCAUCAUGCAAAUUCCAAUUCUGACCAUGCCAAAUGAUGGUAACUCACUGUCAAACAAUUCUUUUUUGGUUAUUGCUUCUACUUCUGAAUUCACAGAUAUUUAGUUACAAAUCCCUACUUUCUGUUGUUUUGAACAGAUAUUACACACCAACUCCAGAUCUUACAGGUUAUAUCACAACAACAACAACAACCCAGUAUAAUCUCACUUAGUAGGGUCUGGGGAGGGUAGUAUGUACGNNNNNNNNNNNNNNNNNNNNNNNNNNNNNNNNNNNNNNNNNNNNNNNNNNNNNNNNNNNNNNNNNNNNNNNNNNNNNNNNNNNNNNNNNNNNNNNNNNNNNNNNNNAUGUACGCAGACCUUACCCCUACCCUUGAGUAGAGAGGCUGUUUCCAAAUAGACCCCCGGCAUCCUUCCCUCCAAGAACUUCCCACCUUGUUCUUGGGAGAUUCGAACUCACAACUUCUCGGUUGGAAGUGGGGGUUGCUUACCAUGAGAGCAACCCCUCUUGUCUACAAGUUAUAUCACAGAAGGACAAAUAUAUAUAUAUAGACCGACAGCUCCGUAACCGGCCGGUAUUAUAUAGCUCUCAAGCUGAGUACUCAUACACACUACCAAAAGGGUAAAACUGUCAAAUGUUAGCGAUCUUAAGAGUAAGUGAGCGUUGAUCUAACUAAGUUAGGUUAUUUUAAACUCUCUACGUUCUCAAUCUUUUACUGUUCUUGAUGAUAGGGAAGCAUUGAUUUAUGAUGUUUUUCUAGAUUGUUAACCUGAAUUUAGUUUACCCUAUUUUGGGAACUAAGAUAAGAAGGGAAAAGACCGGAAAUGUUCUAGAGGGAAAAUAGACAGAAAGGGGAACAAUGAUUAAUGAACUCUCAGUUCUAUUGUUAAGCUAAAACAUGGAAAAAUUUGUGAAUUUUUAACUUCUACUUUCCCUUCUCUUCUCUUCCCUCAAUUUCAAGUACCGCCUUAGAAAAAUGGAUAAGUAAAUAUUACUUAAGCAGAGAAUGUUAUUAAAACCCCUUUUCAUUUCUUUCCUAGGAGGGAAUUUGAACCAAUGUGUCUCCUCUUCCUCUUAUUAUGUCAGUCUAAAUUAUGUUAGUGUAAACUAUGCUCUAAUGUAAGACUUGAUACUUUUGUAUCUUGCACUUGCUCAUUGCCCUACAUCUCUCCUGAACUGCACGCCACUAAUAUUUAUAACUUCUAAUUUACUUUCUAAUUGGAUUUUGGUAACUGAGAUGAAUAUCAGGAAAUGACACAUAGGACUUAAAGAGAGCUAUUGUACUUGUAUGGCGAUAACCCAUAAGGCCAGGCAUUACGCUUUCCAUGUCUUAGUUUUAUUUCCAUGAAAGCCUUGAUGUCAUCAGAUUCACCAGACAUAGGCUUAAUUGGCCAAUUUCAUCCUUGCAUCUUAAGAUAACCAUUUGAUGUUCAUUUUUCAAAAUGUUCGUAGGAGUGUGUUCAGUCAAAGGGCAUGUAAAGUGGGACUCUUAACUUAAUUUUUGGGAAUAUUUGCUUACUUUCAGAAAGUGAAAAAGACUCGCCAGAUAAAGAAAAAUCAUGCGUGUUCAGUCAAAUGACAUGUAAAAUGGGACUCUUAACUUAAUUUUUGGGUAAAUUUGCUUACUUUCAGAAAGUGAAAAAGACUUGCUAGAAAAAGAAAAAUCAUGCACUGUUAUACUUCGGAAAUUACGGUCAUUCGUAUGAAACAAAAAGACUCUUUUCGACGAAACAGAUUUUCUUUUUCUUUGCAGUAGACCAUCCAUUGUUUGUAACGCUUCACUCAAUAACAGACGAGAAUGUCGAACAGUGAAGCAACAAUGUACGUGAAAUACCUUAACUGAAAAAAAAAAAAAGAGAGGAUGUUUGUGACUUUGUGAAGUGCCCAGUUACUGUAAACAGCCCCGUUGCUUGCUAAGUCAAGUUUUUCUUUAAUUUGGCAAUUGUCCAUUCAUACCACUACAGAAGGUUGCCACAUCUGUUACUAGCCUCUAUUGAAUUUCUUUACUCCUUGGAUAGCAUUUGGGUUUUGAACAGAAAUGACUCAAAAGAUUGUUUCCCUUUUGAACUGUAACAGAUAUACCCACCAAUUAAUGUGUUUCCGUGGUUAUCUCGGCUGAUGAAGGUGAGUAUGUGGACCUCAUUUUCUAAUCUAUCAGAUACUUCUAACAACUUUAGAGGACGCCUAACAUGUGAUUAUUCUAAUUCAGCCUUAAACUUUUUUGCAGAGUGCCAAUGGUGAGGGAAUGACCAGGAGGGAUCAUUCUGAUGUAUCCAACCAGGUAAGUUCAACUUUUGGUAAAAGAAUGUACUUCAUUGCUCGAGUCAUCUUCAUUCCUUAUGCAAAGUUAAUCUCUUUUACCUCUGUUGAUGUUGCUAAUUUUUUCCAUUUUGCAUUGAUCUUAAAAUACUAUAGUUGUAUGCAAAUUAUGCCAUUGGAAAGGAUGUUCAAGCGAUGAAAGCUGUGGUAGGAGAAGAAGCACUUUCUUCUGAGGACCUGGUAUGUAGCUCGAGAAAAGUUUUUGGUUUAAAUAAUUAAGCUGUGUUUUGCCUUUGUUAUCAAUAAUUCAAUGAUGAGAUGACUUGAGACUCCUUGUUAAAACAGCUUUACUUAGAGUUCCUUGACAAAUUCGAGAGGAAGUUUGUCGCUCAAGGAGCUUAUGACACCCGCAAUAUAUUCCAGUCGCUUGAUUUAGCUUGGACACUACUUCGCAUCUUCCCCCGUGAGCUUUUGCAUCGUAUCCCAGCAAAGACCUUGGAUCAGUAUUACAGCCGCGAUGCAUCUAAUUGAUGGGAAUGAACUUGCUUUAUACUUUAGUCUCUUGUACAAUUACCUUGGUGUGAGCUUGACGAUACGUUGGGUCACAAGCUUUUCCUCUUUGUGCAUCUCCUUUCAGCUAAAUAAUAAAAGCGGCAUUUGAAGACAAUGACUUGGAUCAGUAUUACAGUCGUGAUGCAUCUAAUUGACGGGAACGAACUGGCUUUAUACUUUAGUCUCUUGUACAAUUACCUUGGUGUGAGCUUGACGAUACGUUGGGUCACAAGCUUUUCCUCUUUGUGCAUCUCUUUUCAGCUAAAUAAUAAAAGCGGCAUUUCGAAGACAAUGAUAUUUAUUUGAGAACUAGUUACAUCCUGUAAUUUAUUAUCUAUUGUAUUUAGUGGACAUGCUGCAGUGUAUUGGUUUUUGUUUAAAAGUUCAGUGAUAUUAGGAGCUACUAGGAAUUAUUAAGCCCUUUUUAUGUAUGAAGCACAUUUUGUUGUUAUAAUUUGAUUCUUUUUGAAUAACACAGCCUUGGAUCAGACAUGCUCUAGAUUAUGAAGUGACUAUCUCCUGACGAAUCCUGAAAAGUAAAUUUCAUCAAUUAAAACAAAAUAUAAGGAAUUUUGGAGUUAAAAAGGCUAUAAAAUCUAUAGCUUCGCACAGUUGGUUCCAAAGAUGAUUGUCAGUCAGUUAAUUUCACUGCAAGAGUCGUCUAUCGGGGCUAUGUAAGGUUCAUUAAAA